UACAGAGGUCUCAAGCGUUGUUCGGAUUCAUUGGGCGUAAAGGGUGCGUAGGUGGCGGGGUAGGUCAGGUGUGAAAUCUCGAGGCUCAACCUCGAAACUGCACUUGAUACUGCCUUGCUCGAGUACUGGAGAGGAGAUUGGAAUUUACGGUGUAGCAGUGAAAUGCGUAGAUAUCGUAAGGAAGACCAGUGGCGAAGGCGAAUCUCUGGACAGUUACUGACACUGAGGCACGAAGGCCAGGGGAGCAAACAGG
rnacentral:rRNA from 1 species